rnacentral:pre_miRNA from 1 species
AGUAAAAUUGCUGGGUUGUAGUGGGAAGUAUGUUUAAAGUAGGUUUAACUUUAUGAGAAAUUACCAGAUUAUUUCCAAAGUAGCUAGACCCUUUUAGAUUCCCACCAUUAGU